GACGAACGCUGGCGGCGUGCUUAACACAUGCAAGUCGAGCGGUAAGGCCCUUUCGGGGGUACACGAGCGGCGAACGGGUGAGUAACACGUGGGUGACCUGCCCUCAGCUCUGGGAUAAGCCUGGGAAACCGGGUCUAAUACCGGAUAUGACUCCAUGACGCAUGUUGUGGGGUGGAAAGCCUUGUGCGGCUGAGGAUGGGCCCGCGGCCUAUCAGCUUGUUGGUGGGGUGANGGCCUACCAAGGCGACGACGGGUAGCCGGCCUGAGAGGGCGACCGGCCACACUGGGACUGAGACACGGCCCAGACUCCUACGGGAGGCAGCAGGUGGGGAAUCUUGCGCAAUGGGCGAAAGCCUGACGCAGCGACGCCGCGUGAGGGAUGACGGCCU
rnacentral:rRNA from 1 species